rnacentral:lncRNA from 1 species
GAAAGAGCUGUUCUACAACCCCCCCAUAGGGUCCCAACCCACAAGUUGAGAACUACUGUACUAGAUACAGUCCGCAUUGGCCCCUCUUGCCCCUAUAAUUCUGUGUAGGCCAUACACAUAGGAUCCUGAUAUGAAAAGCCCUAUUUUAUCUCUAUGGCAAAUUUUCUUUUUCCAAUUUAAGAAAUUAAUUUAUUAUUAAUCUAUAUGUGCCCACAUGUGAUAUGUGAUAUAUAUACGAGUGUGCGCACACAGGUGCCAUAGCAUGCAGGUGGAGGCCAGAGGACAACUUAUGGAAAUCGGUUCUCUCCCCCUACUUUACUUGAGCUCCUGGGAUCAAAUUUGUGUCAAACAGCAGGUGCCUUUCCCUGCUGAACUGUCUUGAUGGACCUAGUUCAUCUAGUUUCCAGUGUGCUUCUGGGUACGGGAAGAAGUGGGUGCAUAGGGCAUAGGGUAACCUAGCAGAUAAAAACACAAUUGUAUCCAUGGCCCCAGGGGCAAUGAGGCCAUGGGCUAAGAGAGCACACUGGUGGCUGCUCACAUGGUUCUUCCAAUCAAACAAAACCUAGGGCAGGAAUAGCAGAGACCAACCCUGGUGCUCUGCCAGUGACUCUGACUUACAAUAUAUUCAGCCAGAAUGCUAACAGACCUUCCAUGCAUGCAUUCGACAGUGCGGUUUGUUUCUGUUUGGGGCCUUGAGAUACAUGUAUGUGGUUGUCAGUGCUCAGAACUGCCUGCUGUUUGUGGCACACCUAGGAUCCUAUCUUAGGGGGAACCAGGACCACUGUGAACUGGCUCUCAAGGUCUCAGCCCUACCAUAGACAUCCUCUCCUCGGCUCCUUGUGUCCAUUCUGUCACCCAAGCAGCCUGUUGCCUGCUGGCUCUGUGGAGAAAGCACUUUAUGUCUCUCACAAUAAGCCUAGUCGUGUUCUAUUUUUAAUGGAUUUUUAAAUGUCUGCUCUGCAAAGGAAAAGUCCCUGUUU